rnacentral:rRNA from 1 species
CCCUACGGGGCGCAACAGUGGGGAAUAUUGCACAAUGGGGGAAACCCUGAUGCAGCAACGCCGCGUGAGUGAAGAAGUAUUUCGGUAUGUAAAGCUCUAUCAGCAGGGAAGAGAAUGACGGUACCUGACCAAGAAGCCCCGGCUAACUACGUGCCAGCAGCCGCGGUAAUACGUAGGGGGCAAGCGUUAUCCGGAUUUACUGGGUGUAAAGGGGGCGCAGACGGCAAUGCAAGCCAGGAGUGAAAGCCCGGGGCCCAACCCCGGGCCUGCUCUUGGAACUGCAUGGCUGGAGUACAGGAGGGGCG